AUUGAGAUGUAUAGUUUUUCAAAGUAGUGAGGUAGCUUUUGGAGACCUUUGCAGCAUUGCUCAUAAUUAAUUUUAUUUUCAGUUUACAGAAGCGAAGUGCUAUCAUAAUAAACUGGUAAAUAUAAGAAAAGAAAUGAUGAUGCUACAUGAAAAGACAACUAAAUUAAAGAAAAGAGCACUGAAACUUCAACAACAAAAACACAAAGAAGCACUGGAGAGAGAACAGCAGCAGGAAAAGGAGCUUGAAAGGGAACGGCAGCUGAUUGCAAAACCUGCAAAAAGAACUUAAUAUAAUAGUCAAAGUUUGUGCGAUCCUUAUCAGUUCAAGGGCUAACAAGAAAGUGCUUGUAAUAAAAACUGGGGGAGGAGCAGGUGCCUAGUUAGGUUAAAUUAAAUAUUCCAUGUUUUCCUAGAAAAUUAUUAACAUAGCGAUGUAAUUACUGAUCUGCUGUUUAACUUGUGUUGACAUUUACUUGGUUUGUAUUUCUGCCCUGCUUGUUAAGCAUGAAAGAGAGCCUGUAUAAUGCUUCAUAAAUGGCAUUAGUUGAUUUUUUUACAUGAAUGAUGCAUUCUUUAUAUCACAUGUUCUCCCCCGUAGCCUUGCUGGGAUGGAAAGAAGACUUCGAUCACAUAUAACGGUUUGUUCUAUUCCGGGUUUUACUGUAAGCCUGAUUACAAUAUAUAACAAGGUCAGGUGUGUCUAACCAAGCGCCAUAUGGCAAUGCAAUGGCUCAGACUGCUAUGUAUUAAAGUGUCUGCGCCUUCCAUCUUACUUGGGUAUUGUCGAAAUGUUUUUGUCGGAAAUGCAGCAAAGGUCUUUAAAUGUAACUCUCGCAAAAUAACAGAGUAUGCACUUGACUAGUUUUUGCACUAAGGGUUUCGAUUUAUAAGGCAAGAGGUUGCAGAAGAUAUUAAUAACAGGUGCCACAUUAUCAAAAAUGGGAUUCUCUAAAACUGGAUCAGUCAAACAAAUUUCAUACCUAAGCAUAAAUGUAUUCAAUAAUUGAUUGACUACUGUAUUGACAGACAGCGUUGGUAAUCAUGUUGCACUGCUGGUUUUUAGGGAGUGGUAUCUCUGGCUUGGUUUCAUAUCACAAGCCAUACUGUUUUAAUUUGGCUGACUAUAUAUUUACACAUCUGUUAGUGGAGUAGGUACCAACGCCAUUGGAGUUGUUUCAGUUCUAGCACAAAUCAUUAUCUUUGGUAAAAUAUCUAUGUGUUGAACUGGUAUACUAUUCAGAAGAAUAUCCUCUUACUCUUUACCCUGGGAAGAUCUUAUAUGUACCAGAUAAAGUGAAGAAUGUUUGCAUAAUCAUUUUAAUUUGAUGUACAAUAAAACAAAGCAUGUGCUUUUAGAAUACCUCAACAGAUCAAAUUGAGGACAAGUGUUGCAAUGUCAUUCAUGCGUCUCCAAAAGUUAUUUUACAUUAAAAACUCAGAAGUACUUCUGGUAUGCAGUAUUCUUUUAUUGCUUCAUUUAGGUCUGUGCUUGGUUGUAGCAGACGGUUGCAAUUCAAAUAAAACAUAUUUUAAGUUUU